AGUGAACGCUGGCGGUAGGCCUAACACAUGCAAGUCGAACGGCAGCACCGUACGAGCUUGCUCUUACGGGUGGCGCGUGGCGGACGGGUGAGGAAUACAUCGGCAUCUACUUUUUCGUGGGGGAUAACGUAGGGAAACUUACGCUAAUACCGCAUACGACCUCCGGGUGAAAGCAGGGGAUCUUCGGACCUUGCGCGAUUGUAUGAGCCUAUGUCGGAUUAGCUAGUUGGCGGGGUAAAGGCCCACCAAGGCGACGAUCCGUAGCUGGUCUGAGAGGAUGAUCAGCCACACUGGAACUGAGACACGGUCCAGACUCCUACGGGAGGCAGCAGUGGGGAAUAUUGGACAAUGGGCGCAAGCCUGAUCCAGCCAUACCGCGUGGGUGAAGAAGGCCUUCGGGUUGUAAAGCCCUUUUGUUGGGAAAGAAAAGCAGCAGGUUAAUACCCCGCUGUUCUGACGGUACCCAAAGAAUAAGCACCGGCUAACUUCGUG
rnacentral:rRNA from 1 species